rnacentral:lncRNA from 1 species
AAUUUAUCUUUUAUUUUAAGGGAAAACUUCAAAAACUCCUCAUGUGGUUUCACACUUUUUUAUUUUAGUAUUUUAUGGUUUAAAGUGUAUUAAGUUAGUGCCCUGUGGUUUCUCACUUUAUCACUUUGGUACCCCGUAGUUUAAAGUUUAUCAAGUUAGUACUCUGUGAUUUUAUUUUUGUAUCAAGUUAAUACCAUGUGGUUUUAUUUUUGUAUUAAGUUAGUACCCUGUGGUUUUUAAACCACAGGGUACUAAAGUGAUAAAGUGCGAAAUCACAGAGUACUAAAGUGAUAAAGUGGAAAACCACAGGGUACUAACUUGAUACACUUUAAACUAUAAGGUACUAAAGUGAUAAAGUGAGAAAUCACAGGGUACUAACUUGAUACAUUUUAAACCAGAGAAUACUAAAAUAAAAAAAAAAAUGAAACCACAUGGGGUUAUUUCAAGUUUUUCCUUAUUUUAAUGCAU